rfam:Lawsonella clevelandensis strain X1698 chromosome, complete genome.
GGCCAGGUAGCUCAGUCGGUACGAGCGUCCGCCUGAAAAGCGGAAGGUCGCCGGUUCGAUCCCGGCCCUGGCCA